rnacentral:misc_RNA from 1 species
AGUUGCCUCUGCAUUGAGAAUUGAAAUUAAUAGAGCAUUGGCUGUCUUACGUGAUAUUGCAUCCGGGAGAGAUGUGGAGAAGUUCCUUACAGUAAUUGCUGGCUUGUGGGUUCUUUCGAUUGUUGGGAGUUGGUGCAACUUCUUGUCCUUGUUCUCCAUAGCCUCUGUUGUGCUGCACUUUGUGCCGGCAUCGUAUGAGAAAUAUGAGGACCAGGUUGAUUCAUUUUCUGAGAAGGCAUGGAUUGAGAUCAAGAAGCAGUAUGCGGUGUUUGAUGCGAAGGUUUUGAGCAACAUUCCCAAAGGGCUAUUGAAGGAAAAGAAGGAGGAUUAAAGACGUCCGUUUUUGUGUUAGCUAGGCUACUCGGUAAUUCUGUUAAACUAGAUUUUUGCCCGCG